GGGAAACCCACUGUUCGUAAUGGAACAGUAUCUUUAUCUGAAUACAUAGGAUAUUGAAGGCAGACCCGGGGAACUGAAACAUCUAAGUACCCGGAGGAAGAGAAAGCAAAUGCGAUUUCCUGAGUAGCGGCGAGCGAAACGGAAUUAGCCCAAACCAAGAGGCUUGCCUCUUGGGGUUGUAGGACACUCUAUACGGAGUUACAAAGGAACGAAGUAAAUGAAGCGACCUGGAAAGGUCCGUCGAAGAAGGUAACAACCCUGUAGUUGAA
rnacentral:rRNA from 1 species